rnacentral:rRNA from 1 species
GACAGAGGUGCCGAGCGUUAGGCGGAAUCACUGGGCUUAAAGCGUGUGUAGGCGGACUGGUAAGUACCUUGUGAAAUCCCACGGCUCAACCGUGGAACUGCUUGGUAUACUGCUUGUCUUGGGCCACUUAGGGGUUACCGGAACAAACGGUGGAGCGGUAAAAUGCGUAGAUAUCAUUUGGAACGCCAAUGGUGAAAACAGGUAGCUGGGGCUGUGCUGACACUGAGACACGAAAGCCAGGGGAGCAAACGGG